GCUGCUUUGACUAUUUGAG
rnacentral:piRNA from 2 species